UACGAAGGGGGCUAGCGUUGCUCGGAAUUACUGGGCGUAAAGCGCACGUAGGCGGUCUUUUAAGUCGGUGGUGAAAUCCUGGAGCUCAACUCCAGAACUGCCUUCGAUACUGGAAGACUUGAGUUCGGGAGAGGUGAGUGGAACUGCGAGUGUAGAGGUGAAAUUCGUAGAUAUUCGCAAGAACACCAGUGGCGAAGGCGGCUCACUGGCCCGAUACUGACGCUGAGGCACGAAAGCGUGGGGAGCAAACAGG
rnacentral:rRNA from 1 species